UACGUAGGGUGCAAGCGUUAUCCGGAAUUAUUGGGCGUAAAGAGCUUGUAGGCGGUUUGUCGCGUCUGCUGUGAAAUUUCGGGGCUCAACCCCGAACUUGCAGUGGGUACGGGCAGACUAGAGUGUGGUAGGGGAGACUGGAAUUCCUGGUGUAGCGGUGAAAUGCGCAGAUAUCAGGAGGAACACCGAUGGCGAAGGCAGGUCUCUGGGCCAUAACUGACGCUGAGAAGCGAAAGCAUGGGGAGCGAACAGG
rnacentral:rRNA from 1 species